rnacentral:lncRNA from 1 species
UCCUUCCCUCACUAGGUCUUCGCCCGAUGCCUCCCCGCAAAGCAUCCACGUGGCGAUCCACGGCCUCCGCGGCCAGAUCUCAGGCUCUGGCCUCCCCUCCAGUUUCCUAGCCUCCUCCCCCUCCUCCGGCAACGGCGGUUGGCGCGGAGCAAUUCGACCUACUGGUGCAGCAGGUCAGAGGCCUCACUGAAGCUGUGCAGGCCA